AGGAAUUUUUUGUUUAGUUCUUUAUUUCCCUGAGAAAUAAAGAUUUAUUCCACCUCAGUAUUGGAGUAUUGUCAAUAGCAAAAGAAGAGAGUGAAUCCAUUAAUGCAGCAAUGUCCUUUAUAAUAAUCAGAGUGACCUUGGCCUCUUACUGCAUUCUGAAUUUGAAGGUGAGAUGUCUAAAGGUACUUCACAUACAAAGCACUUAAUUGGUAAGGAACUAGAAAAUAAUUUUCUAUUGACUGAGACAUCACACAUAUUAAUGCAAACACCAUAAAAUGAAGGAAAUUAUGCAGAGCCUUUGCUUGGGAUGAUGAAGUAAAAUAUAUCAUGGAUGUAUAAAAUGUGGGAAAAUCACAAAACAAGUUCUUUAUAAUGCAAUAAAUACUAUGUAAUCCCACUGAAAUAACAUCAGAAUUAACACGAUAUUGAUAAUGUGGUGUUCCAAAAAAAGAGACAAAGAAAGGAACAGAAGAAAGAGAAGGAAGGAGAAGGAAGGAAAUAGUAAAGAGGAAGGAAGGGAGGAAAGGAGGGAGGAAGGAAAGGAAAGAAGCUUGAUUCCAAAAUUACCCAGAAUUGAAUAGUUUGUUAAAUAUGUUAAAAUCUUUUGCUGUUAUUCUUUUAAGAGAUUUUUUUUUUAAUCUCUAGCUUUGUGUAAGGAGAACCUGCCAGCAGGACAUAUUCCAUUUAAAUGCACAUAGCAGUUCCAUAUUGCCUAAAACAAAAAUAUAGUAGUUGAUAUUUAAUGAGCUCCAUGUGGUCACCAGCCCAAAGACUUUGGCUGGCUUUUGUUGUGGAAAGAACAGUUAACUUCCAUAGCUGUCUGUACUUAUUACUCAGCCAUCUUCUCAUCCCCCGUCAACACUGAAAUAUCAACUCAACCUGAUGGUUUUACUAAUCCUCAUUUGAAUCUUUUUUUUCCUCUCAGGAUUUUAAACUUUUUCAUGUUGAUAUUUACCACUUUGAAUCCAGAGCUACUAGCAAUACUUUUCUCAGCAUGUCUUUGUCUCUCUGUAAUUUUAUAUUGUAUAUCUUUCUACAGACUUUAUUUAUCACAUGACUUUGCCUCAUGGGUUGGAUAUGGUCACCAACUGGGGCAAAGCCAUGAGGUUAUAUCAGAACUGUCCCUUAGAUCCUGGAAACACAUGGAUCCAAAUCCUGAGGUGACUGAGAGGAAGGAAAUUUAAAGGAAAAACUCAAUAAAAAAUUCAAACCAACCA
rnacentral:lncRNA from 1 species